rnacentral:rRNA from 1 species
AUUGAACGCUGGCGGCAGGCCUAACACAUGCAAGUCGAACGAGUGGCGGACGGGUGAGUAAUGUCUGGGAAACUGCCUGAUGGAGGGGGAUAACUACUGGAAACGGUAGCUAAUACCGCAUACCAUCGGAUGUGCCCAGAUGGGAUUAGCUAGUAGGUGGGGUAAAUGCUGACCUAGGCGACGAUCCCUAGCUGGUCUGAGAGGAUGACCGGCCACCCUGGAUAGGAGGAACGGUCCAGACUCUUAAGGGAGGAAGCAGUGGGGAAUAUUGCACAAUGGGCGCAAGCCUGAUGCAGCCAUGCCGCGUGUAUGAAGAAGGCCUUAGGGUUGUAAAGUACUUUCAGCGGGGAGGCGUUACCCGCAGAAGAAGCACCGGCUAACUCCGUGCCAGCCGCCGCGGUAAUAC